rnacentral:SRP_RNA from 1 species
UUGAGGGUCGCAGUAUGUUGAGCGAGGUCACUAUUCCCAGGAUGUGGAUGGCGCGUCCGUUUCAAACCAGGAGUGGACAUUGGCGCGUUGCCGUAGGGCAGUGCGUCGAGGUCACUAAGGAAGGGUGCAUC